rnacentral:lncRNA from 1 species
AUUUUGUCCACACCCUUUCAUGGUCUAUAAAUAGGACCCUUUGGGUGUCCUAUUCCACACAAAUUUAUAUGCAAAACGUCUCUCAUCCUUUCUUCUGUCCAAAAUCAAAAUCAUUUCAUUUAUUUUGAUUUUCUUCAUUUCAUCCUUGGAGUACACAAGCCUAAAUUUGGUUCGUUGUACUUGUGUUUUGGAGUGCUACAAACACAAGUGUAGCCGUUAUAUCUUGGGAGUCGAUUGUCGAAAUCCGUAGGCACCGUUGCGGGGCAAAUUCGACUUAAGGACAAAGAGUCCAACUCUUGCCUCGGCUUUGUCACCAUCAUUAUACUUAUUUCGGCGUCACUAUUCACAAAAAUCAUCCAACAG